rnacentral:lncRNA from 1 species
AUGGGAAGGAGAAGGUAGCAAAGGAGGUCAUUGAGGAAAUAGAUGAAGAAAAGAAGUUAGUCAAAUUCAAAGUGAUUGGAGGAGAUGUAUUGGAAGCUUACAAAUCAUUUUACCUUACUGUCCAUGUUGAAACAAAGGGUGAAGACAAUUUGGUUACUUGGAUUUUGGAAUAUGAGAAGUUGAAUCCUGAUAUACCAGAUCCACACACAUUAAUGGAUUUCUGUCUCAAUGUUACAAAGGAUAUUGAGAAACAUCACCUAACAGGAAAGUUAGUUUCUGAGAUAAAUAUUAAGUCUGAUGGGGAUGUGUUUCAUGAGAUUUUUAGGUACAGACCACACCAUAUCUCAAGUAUGUCUCCUGAUAAGAUACAAAAUGUGGACAUUCAUGAAGGUGAAUGGGGUACUGUUGGCUCUGUUAUCUUUUGGAACUUCACCCAUGGUAAGCCUACAUAUAUCGUCCUACUUUUCUUUUUAUUGACUCAAUUAAUUAGUCUAGAAUUGUAAUGCAUAUGACCCAUCAAAAGAAAAGCGUUAAGCCUUUUCUUUAUUACUUCUUUCAAGCUUAGACGUGACGUUUAAGAAGAAAAGAAGUUUGUAUUAGAAAUUUGUGAUUUACAACAAGUUUUAAAUAUUUCUGUGACUAUAUUAAUGAUUCCAAUAGUUGAAGCAAAUGUUUUUGUCUAAAUUAAACAAUGUGUCAUAAUCCAAUUUUGGUGAAAGCUUUUAGUCUACCUUAUUAAACUAAAAUUACUGUAGUAACUAAAUGCAAAACUCAACAUAAAUAAUAAACAAAUAAAAAGUAACUUUGAGUUAGUUAGAUUAGGAGUUCGGACCUAGGUCAACGAAUUUUAAUCCAUUUAAAUUCAACACAAGCUCUCCAUUUAAGAAAAGGAACUUGUAAUAUUAAGCUAAUUAAGUUGCUCGGACUUUUCAAAAAUGUUGUUUGUAAUACUUUUGAAGAAUUCGACACAUGCACACACAUCUGAUGACAGUUCUGGAGAGUCCAAGCGUUAUUUACUUUGUUUGUUGUUGCAGAUGGGAAAGAGAAAGUUUCAAAGGAGAUAAUUGAAGAAAUAGAUGAAGAAAAGAAGCUGGUUAAAUUCAAGGUGAUUGGCGGAGAUAUGUUGGAAGCGUACAACUCAUUUUACCUCACUGUUCAUGUUGAAACAAAGGGUGAAGACGACCACUUAGUUACUUGGAUUUUGGAAUAUGAAAAAAAGCAUGCAAAUGUGCCAGAUCCACACACUUUAAUGGAUUUCUGCCUCAAUGUCACCAAAGACAUUGAGACUCACCAUCUCAAGUGAUACAUAACAUAACAUAUGUGCCUUAGCUUGGACCCUUCGAAACAUAUGUUGAUGAGUGUGU